UGUUAGUACAACAAGUUGCGCUAAUUAUACAGAAUGCAAUAUUUAAUUGCAUUUACUAUAACUGAUGCUUCCCGCUCCAAAUAAUUAAUGUUAUACUUGGUGAAAAACCUAUUUAAAAUCAUGUACAUUUAAAAUUAAAUCAGUUUUCCUGAUAAAUUUUAACUAAUGAUGAAGCUUACGCAUAUUUUUGCAUUCAUUUUUGUUUUCGGCGCAAUUUCGUCAAUGAAUGAAGAAAAUGCUAUAAACUUUAAACUUAGCUUAAAUUGCAGUAACGAGUUAAUGCGAAUUUCAAUAAAACCUACGCAAGAGUUUCAUGGAUUUAUAUAUACCAAAGGGAAUUUCAAAAAUAAAGAGAAAAAGUGCUUUGUUGACGCAGAAAAACACCCAAAAAAUAAAACCUACGAGUUAGAAAUACCAGUGCAUGAUUGCAAAACGAAGAAAAGUGGCAAGUUAUUCUCAAACACGGUGAUAGUUCAGCAUGACAGAGACUUUAUCACAUCAAAAGAUGUGGCAUUUAAGCUGAUAUGCGACCUACAAAAGAAACAUACAUUAAACCUGAAAACAAAAUUGAAGAAUGGAACAUAAGAUAAAACAAGAACUUUCAACCAGAUUACAACGGCACAUAAACUGGAUGUCUUGUUAUAGAACACCACCAAACUUUACUAAUAGGUAAACAAAAUGAACUUUAAAAACAAAAAUUUUUAUAUUCAAUUACAUACAACUAUUAAUUUUUACUAAUAAAAAAAUAUGUAAAUGAAGUGUUUUCCAUUAACUUUGAAAGUACCUAAACCAAAUACUCCUCGAGUAAAGGAAUAAACAAAUAAAUAAAUAAACAUUGUAAUUAAAUAGAAUGUCAUGUAAUUUAAUGAGCAAAUGAAUUGCUGAUAUUUAUUAAACAUACUCAGAUUAAAAACUACAAAUUUAUAUUUUUCGAUAUGACCAACUAACUAUCUUGUUACUCUAAAGACAACUGCGUUCUACUCUUAAGAGAUCCAAACAUUAGAAUAGAAAGAUAAUCAUUUCAAAAAUUGUGUAGAAUAUUUCGUCUGCCACUGUACAUGCAA